CCUACGGGGGGCAGCAGUGGGGAAUAUUGCGCAAUGGGCGAAAGCCUGACGCAGCGACGCCGCGUGAGGGAUGAAGGUCUUCGGAUCGUAAACCUCUGUCAGCAGGGAAGAACGGUCACUGUGCUAAUCAGCAGUGAAUUGACGGUACCUGCAAAGGAAGCACCGGCUAACUCCGUGCCAGCAGCCGCGGUAAUACGGAGGGUGCGAGCGUUAAUCGGAAUUACUGGGCGUAAAGCGCUCGUAGGCGGUAUGUCAAGUCAAGGGUGAAAGCCCCUCGCUCAACGUGGGAACUGCCUUUGAAACUGGCAAACUGGAGUGUGUGAGAGGAUAGUGGAAUUCCAGGUGUAGGAGUGAAAUCCGUAGAUAUCUGGAGGAACAUCAGUGGCGAAGGCGACUAUCUGGCACAUAACUGACGCUGAGGAGCGAAAGCGUGGGUAGCAAACAGGAUUAGAUACCCGGGUAGUC
rnacentral:rRNA from 1 species